rnacentral:lncRNA from 1 species
UGGGGACUUGACCAUGGAACUGGCAUGUAUUAUGAACUGAGUUGGAGUUGUUUCAAAACUACUUUGUUUCCGCUACUGCUAUGGUUUGUAGUAACCUCUUUUAAACUCUGAUGUGAUGUAAAACUAUGUUCUGUGUUGAAUGUUGUAAUCUGUGAUGGUGAUGCUUGAUCAUGUACGAUCUUGGUUGUAUGUUGGUUGAAUCGAGGUCUUUUGAGAUUUCGUCGGACUACCGGGUUUAUAUGGGUUCAAGUCCAUUGGCUUGACUGCCUCUGUGGUCGCUAAUUCACUUGAAUUCUUAUAAAUUGGACGGUUCUGUUACAGAAACCAUAGUUAUCCUCUCUAUUCUCCUACCAUCGCCCAUAUACUAGAUUGCUCUACUCUAUAUUCCCCCAUUAUCAUUUUACCUUUAAUAUUGUUCUAAUUCAAUUCUACCAUCUUUCCUAUUUACACCUACCUAUCUAUCUAGGUUAAAUUAGAGCGUAGAUCAGUUCUCCCAUUUCCCUGUGGAUACGAUAAAACCUUUAACCGGGUAAAAGCUACAACGGUAUCCGUGCGCUUGCGGAUUUAUCUGUGUGCUUAUAAAUACCAUAGUACACUCUAGUGCCAUGCUGGGGAUGACAACCUAGUUUUCAAGUGGUGUUAGCAAGUGUCAACAAGCUUUUUGGCGCCGUUGCGGGGGAAACGGUUUCUGAGUUGACUACGAACUAGCUUAAUCAUUUUCUAAAAAAUAAAAAUAAAAAAGAAAUAUAUAUUUUUUUCCUUUUAUCAUUUGCCUUAUCUCUGCUAUUCUUUCUUCUUGUCUAAUCCUUUAUCUCUAGUCUAUCUUGAAGGCAAACAUGUCUAUCUAUCAGUUUAAUAGACCUACGGGCACACAUCUCGAACCACCAAAAUCUUCAAAGCCUAUCAUGACAUCUAGUUUUGAGAUAAGCCUGGAAUACAUAGAAUUUCUUAAAAAAAACCUUUCUUAGGAGAAGGUGAGGAAAACCCAUACACACAUCUAAGAGAGUUUUAUCGAGUCUGUGACCUCCUUCGCAUUGAAGGCAUGCCCGAUGAGACCCUUGUUGAUAUUUGGUAACGCCAUCAGGAAAUGAUCCGCAAGCGCACGGAUAUCGGUGAGCACUUCACCCGGGAGGUUAUCCAGAGUAUCGUAUUUAUAUUUUUACCAC